CACCACUGCAAUGAACAAAACACGCAAGAAAUAAAAACGUAAACAAAGAUGAAAACGCAGGAGAAAAUGACUUGGCUGUGAGUCUGAAUCACAUUCAGCGAAGUAUUCUAAAACAGUUACCAAAGGUUUCCAACUUUAAUGCCUCAUAACUGUGUUUGACACUUGAGCCACAGCAAGUGGCCAGUGAGCACGGAGUGAGCGCCUCUUGCGCGUGACGGAUACCAGACCGUCCUGGAGGAAGAGUCUGCAGAGACCGCGGGCGGGUCGCGGACAAGUGCAGCUGCCCCGUGCCUGGCGCCUCGCGGGUGCAGAGGGAGGAAAACCACGGGUUCUGUCCACCAGAAGGCAAGGACCUUCCUUCCUCUCUAGCUCCAACCUCCCACAAAGCCCGAUGCUGUGUGACCUGUGGGCUUUACAAGGCCCGAGACUCCAGGUUUCGUCUCCCCAGGACUAUGCCGUCACGGUCAGGAAGUGGCUACCGAUCAGGAGGCCGGCACGAUGACCGUGUCGUGACAGGACAGCAGGAGGGCUCCCUGCCAUCCGGUGACGGCAGCCUCACCACGUGUGUGAGGAUGAGGCCGAGCAUCUUUUCAAAGCACAGGCGCGUCUGCGUUCUCGCGUACAGCGUCCUUGAGAAAGCGGGGGUCGGAGGGAGCCCGUCACCAGGGCCAUUCUGCUGCAGACGAUGUAAAGGAGGCUACACGUAUACAACAUAUUUCAAUCAGGCGUAAUUUUUUAUAGGAAGAGACCUAUGGAAAAAUCUAGAUUACUAACCCACGGCAGAUAUAAGCAGUUUACGACGCUAUUUUGAGGAUCCAAGGGGGAGCUCCCACUCACCCUCUCAGGCUGUCCGCUUUCCCACUCUACUUAAUUUUGUAGGGAAACAAUCGUCCUGAAUUUGUUAUCCCGGAUUGUCAUGGAAAUAAACAUUCUCAUUAUUCCAACCCCAUGCAAUCAAGUAAGAAGUUCUAAUCAAAAUGGAAAACGAUCAGCUCAGCUGCUUAACACCUUAAGAAGUUGCAAGAUGAAUAAUAAACUCCACGCUGUGAGUGUUGCAGAAUGCCAGCUGCCGAGAUCCCGUGGAGUCCUCACGGCAGCCCCCGAGGUGAGUACGAGUGUCCUACCCAUUCUAUAGCUAAGGAUGCUGCAGAUCUGAAAGCCAGGGCGCCGGCCUCAAGUCUCACAGAGAACAGACAGGUGACACGCUCGUUGGUCAAACCCACACCUGGCUCUCCUCCCCACGCUUCACUGUCAGGUGAGCACUACCAGAGACUCAUCGGCUCCCACGGCCGCAGCACAGCACGGCGAUCCUAGGAGGAAGGGGUCUGAGAAGUUAACUCAACUAUCCAAGGAUGAACAAGAACAAGCGAGGACCAAAGCCCUAAGUCAGGUCUGUCUGAUGUCACAGCGGAUGUUUAUCCUACUCGAGCUGUUGCUCGGAGUGUGGAGGAGAUCCUUCCAACAGGAAAGUAGUGACAGUCUCUUAAAUCACGACACUGCUUCUUUCCCUCAUCUCAUGUCACACGCACAUCUCUCCUGGCACCUAACAUGCCCUCCCACGUGAGAAAAAUGAGGUCAAAGGAUGGGAGCCAUGUCUAACUCAACUGCUCCCUACAGUGCUGAUCCUUCCCAGAUCAGACAGGAAAAACUGCCGGACUGAGCACACGUGGUCCAGACAGUAGCUCCGGACCGGCUGGCCUGGGCUAGUGUUUUCACUCUACCUGGGAGCUUGUAAUCCUUCUGCAACCAUUAAGAAUUUUUACAGAUAAAGCAGACUUUCCACUUGAAAGAAUCAAGUGCAGACAGACUAUGGUUACUCCGAUGCACGUAUGUGGCAGACACGUUCUCAGAGAUGAACGAAGUGAGCCUGUCUCUUCAGGAAAAACUGACAGCAUUUGUUACCGAUGACUCAAUUCAAGCUUUCAGGUCCGAUGUUUCCAAACCCACCAAAUGGAAGACGGACCAAGGCGUUUCAAUGAGACAGAGUAUGACAAGUUUACUGAUGUGGUUUCAGAAUCCACGCUGCAGCUAACCUUUAGGAAACUACCACUUGCCAAGUUUCGGUGGAGUCAUCAAAGAAUACCCACACUUAGGUGCAAAGCUGUCAAAAUUCUUUUCUUUUCCAACUGCGUAUUUGUGGUUCCAACUACUUCAACCCAAACAACAUGUCCCAUCAGACUGAACACAGAGGCAGAGAGAAGAAUCUAGCUAGCUCCCACGAA